GCCCUCGUAGCUCAGAUGGAUAGAGCUCCCGCCUUCUAAGCGGUAGGUCGCAGGUUCGAGUCCUGCCGGGGGCG
rnacentral:tRNA from 1 species